UAUAUUUUCCCAUCUCUUAAUAUUUAGAAGAAAGUAUGCAGUAUAACCUCAAUAAACAUUACAUUGAACUAUGUUAAUUUACACAUAAUGAUUGUGUGCAUAUGUAUAUUCACUUAAACAAACAUUUGCACACAGUAAUAACAAUGCCCAGGAAUAGCUGAGCAAUCACAGGUUUGGCAAGUUCCUAAGAUGUUCGGCCCUUCUUUCAUCAUGCUUUUAUUGUUAGCAUUUAUUUCAGAAACAAAUCUAUUUUCUGCUGAGGACACCACCAGAAAUAGUUCCAUUUUCUCGUAUGCAGUGGAAGCGGGAAUAGUUUCAGUAAAAACAAAACAUGGCAGAACGACACAACUCCAAUGUUGCAGUUCACCUCGGUGUCUCAAGUUGUGUGGAUCCAGUAUUUCUGGUAAGUGGAAAGCUGUUUUCCUCACAAGGAUGAGUGCAUGCAUUCUGGAAGGUGGUAGUGCCUCUUAUGGGGCAGACAGUCCCAAUUUACAGUGGUUCUUAGGAGACCAAAAAGCUUACUUUUUUUUUAUGCUGACAAUAAAAGUACACAUGGGUAUACAGUAUCUUGUGUAGUAAGAUGUAAUGAGGGGUAGC
rnacentral:lncRNA from 1 species